AACGAACGCUGGCGGCAUGCCUAACACAUGCAAGUCGAACGAGACCUUCGGGUCUAGUGGCGCACGGGUGCGUAACGCGUGGGAAUCUGCCCUUCGGUUGGGAAUAACUGAGAGAAAUUUCAGCUAAUACCUUAUAAUGUCUUCGGACCAAAGAUUUAUCGCCGAGGGAUGAGCCCGCGUAGGAUUAGGUAGUUGGUGGGGUAAUGGCCUACCAAGCCGACGAUCCUUAGCUGGUCUGAGAGGAUGAUCAGCCACACUGGGACUGAGACACGGCCCAGACUGCUCCGGGAGGCAGCGGUGGGGAAUAUUGGACAAUGGGCGAACGCCUGAUCCAGCAAUGCCGCGUGAGUGAUGAAGGCCUUAGGGUUGUAAAGCUCUUUUACCCGGGAUGAUAAUGACAGUACCGGGAGAAUAAGCUCCGGCUAACUCCGUGCCAGCCGCCGCGGUAA
rnacentral:rRNA from 1 species